rnacentral:rRNA from 1 species
GACGAACGCUGGCGGCGUGCUUAACACAUGCAAGUCGAACGAUGAACCCGGAGCUUGCUCCGGCGGAUUAGUGGCGAACGGGUGAGUAACACGUGAGUAACCUGCCCUUGACUCUGGGAUAACUGCGGGAAACUGUAGCUAAUACCGGAUACGACCCUCGGCGGCAUCGCCAGGGGGUGGAAAGAAUUUCGGUCAAGGAUGGACUCGCGGCCUAUCAGCUAGUUGGGGAGGUAACGGCUCACCAAGGCGACGACGGGUAGCCGGCCUGAGAGGGUGAACGGCCACACUGGGACUGAGACACGGCCCAGACUCCUACGUGAGGCAGCAGUGGGGAAUAUUGCACAAUGGGCGCAAGCCUGAUGCAGCAACGCCGCGUGAGGGAUGACGGCCUUCGGGUUGUAAACCUCUUUUAGUAGGGAAGAAGCGAAAGUGACGGUACCUGCAGAAAAAGCACCGGCUAACUACGUGCCAGCCGCCGCCGUAA